GUGUCCUUAAUGUUAUCAGCCCUGAGAGGAGUAGGCCUGCAGGGUAUUCAAGGCAGCCACUGAUCUUCCGUCUUGUAAGUGGGGCCAAGCAAGCAGCGGAUGAGCAGUGCAGGUUCAAGGAUCGUGUGGAGCUUUGCGGCUGACUGGACAAACGGGUACCUGAAGCUGAGAGUUCAUCCCUCAAUUCCCCAAGUCCCCACUUAAGCCAAGUUAUCACCCUGGUGCCAUGAACCACAUCAAUAUGAACCUCAAGUGCUAAAUGCUGAUGGAGUCUCCAGAUGGAAUCACAGGUAUGGUGCAAUGUGGACCCUGCCAGGAGUCAGCUGUACUGGCAAGGAUCUUAAAAAUGGUACUACAAUACACCACUCCCUGUAGCUCCAAUGGGGAAAUUGUGUAAUCAGUUGAUGGUGGCAUUGCCAAAUGAUUGUGAGGAAGACUUUCCCCUUCCUCCCUUGGUGGAUAUUGUAACUCUUCUGGAGGUUAUUAUUACCCUGCUAAUACUACUAUUGGGAUUUUUAAGAAAAGCAUUCACAUGAGUGUGUGUGGCAGGAGUAGAGUGGGAGACCGUGACAAUCUGUGAGUGGUAAAGAAGUGAGCACAGUGGAGGUGGCACCCAGUGAUGGUCCGUGUGCGGCUGCCGCCCUCACCACCAGCUGAAACUUCUCCCUCAUGUUCUAUUUGCCUGAAACUACAAUGUGAGACUUUCCUUGGUGCUGCAUAGUGAAGGGCAGACCAGUAGCCUUCUUCCUCCAUACAUCCUCCUGCUUCAGUACUCCUAAGAGGAGGUUAUGGCCACUUGCAUUCAGCACACACACAUGCACAGCUGACAUGGUCAGCUGGCUGCAUCACCUGUGAAUAUACAUGUGUAUGUGUGUGUGCAUGGGUGCUGGAUUCAAGUGACCAUAGCCUCCUCUUAGGAGGACUGAAGCAGGAGGAUGUGUGAAGGAAGAAGGCUACUGGCCUGCCCUUCACUAUGCAGCCCCAAGUAAAGUCUCACAUUGUAGUUUCAAGUAAAUAUAAUAUGAGGAAUAGACUUCAUUUGGUGGUGAGUCGGCAGCCACACACAAGUCUCCACUGUGCCACCCACGGACUGUCACGGUGUCACUCUACUCCCACCACAACAGAGACUAUCUCACGUGAGUACUUUUCAUCAAAAUCCCCAAUGACUGCUGGAUCAACAGGGUAAUAAACAUCUCCGGGAGACAAGAGUUACCAUGUUCACCAAGGAAGGAUGAGGAAAAUUCUUCAUCACAGCCAUUUGGCAGCGCCAUUAUCAAUCGGAUACAAAAUCCCAAUCAGACCUCUACGGCAAGUGGUGUAUCUUCUUACCAUUUUCAUAAGAUCUGUUUGGUAUUUGGCCUGGAUGGAGAAGACGUCUGGCACAUUGUGGUGGGACAAAUCUGCAAGGCAAACUUCUGAAGCUGAGCAUUUUAAGAAUAUAUUUAAUAUUCUUUAAAA